AACAAAAAACAAAAAAUGUUAAAACCCAGCUCAAACCCCAAACUUAAAUAAGUCUCUCUCAAUCUCUCUCACAAUAUCUACUCCCUGUUUCUUUUACAGUCGCCGGAACACCAGAUGCACCGUACUAGCUCUCAAUUUUUUUAGAUAGGUUCAAUUUCAAGAAAUUUGCUUCUCCAUUGUUUCAAGUUCUUACUAAUUUUUACUCAAAUACCCACGGGCGGAGCCAUUCCUUGGGAAUGUGGAAAUUUUCGUAGGCUGAAUUUUUUUGGCCGUUAUUGAGGAAAUGGGUGUUGAUAUGGUUGAUAAAUUGAAACCAAGCAUUUCAGAGAUAAGAGUAUUUCAUACAAAUCCAGUGCAAACCAUGUUAUAGAAUGUUAUGGACACCAUAGAUGUAGUAUGGAUAUCAAUUUGUUAUACAGGUGAAUCUGAGCAAUCAGUUAAAGGUGUAUGGAAAUGAAAAUAUGCAAGGAAUGGCUCAUUUGGCUUAUUCUGAAUCAGUGUCUAAAAGCUCACAGCAUGGUUAAGGUGUACAAUUUGCGCCAUUCAAAACCUCUACAGGUCCACUGAAGGUGGUGUGGUGGUGUUGCUUGGGAAUUUGGAUACAUGGAUGAUAGAAGUCAAAAACCUGCCAAAUAUGGAUUUUUUCCACAAUCUAAGUCAUAAAUUCUGUGGAUUUCCUGUGAGUUUCAGUAGUAAAACAGAAGGAAACGCUUCUAAGAAGAAUACCAGUGAUCGUUGUCACAAUUUCAGUAGCUGGUGCAGUAAGUGGUAGAACUUUUGUGAUUAUUGACACUGAAAAUCCUGUUUGGAUGCAGCAUUUUCAUGUUCCGGUUGCACAUUAUGCUGCACUGCAGAAGUGCACUUUGUGGUUAAAGUCAGUAAUGUCGUGGGCUCAGAGAUUAUGGGGGCUGUUGGAAUCCCGGUAGAGCAGACAAUCUCAGGGCAUAGAGUCGAGAGUACUUUUCUGGUACUCAAUGAAAGUAGGAGGUUGUUUUGAGCCUGUACAUUAAGUAUACUCCGAUGGAGAAAGUGUCCCUCUAUCAUGGUGGAGCAGUAUCAGAUCUUGGGUAUCAGAGCGUGCCUGGUACAUAUUUUCUUCUUAGGAGAGGAGGAACACUAAAACUUUAUCAAGAUGCACGUGCCUUCCAAAGUUAUUGCUGGCAAAUUACACAUCGUAUCAGCAUGGACAUUGCUGGCAUUAUAUUUAUGAUUCAAUUAGUCAGGCUAAUCGUUUAGUUUGCAUUACAGGUUGGUCUGUUUACCACCUAGUUCAACUAGUUAGGGAUGAUGAGAAUGCAACACAUAGCACUUUGGGAGAGAUGCUGAAAGUCAAGUCUCAAGAAGGUGUGUGAGGGUCCUGCUCCUUGUAUGGGAUGAUCCUACAUCUAGGAGCAUUUUUGGGCAUAAAUCUGUAUGAAGCAACUAUGAUGGUCUUCUUUUUGUUAAAAAAUCGUUGAAUAUAUGACACGUUACAGAGAAGUUGGUGUUUCCCUUUUAUGAAAUGAUCUAUAUAUAAAACCUUUAGCUA